GUCAUGUGUGUGUCGCGUGUGUGCAGUCAGAUGUGUGAGUCACACGUGUGUAUAUGCAGUCAGAUGUGUGGGUCAGGCCUGUGUGUGCAGUCACACGUGUAUGUGCAGUCAGAUGUGUGAGUCACACGUGUGUAUAUACAGUCAGAUGUGUGGGUCAGGCCUGUGUGUGCAGUCACACGUGUGUGUGCAGUCAGAUGUGUGUGGCCUGCACAGGGCACAGAUGCGCUCCAGCUCCCAGUCAAGUCCUUCAAGCUCCCCACUGUUUUAUUCCCCACCCCUCCCCCAAACAAGAAGCCUGGCUGGACAAGAUCCGGUCACAAAGCCAGGCGGCCCGUGAGGGCGGGGGCUUUGUCCGCCUGCCGGAACCAGGUGCCUCCUGCGCCCACGGGAAUCCCCCGGCUUUUCCCGUCCGGUUCUGGGAGGUGAGGCCGUCCGCUCUGUGUUGGGGCCGACAGCAGGAAGAAGGCUUCCUGCCUGAGCUGGAAACCCCACUGUGAGGAGCAGGCCACCUCCCCCCAGCCCUGGAUGUGGGGCAGGCUCGGCUGUGGCCGGGGCCCAGGGCUGGGGGAGGCAGGGGCCUGGGUGGGUGUUCCUGCAUUCACAGUGAGCAGAGCAGCUGAGCACCGGGACGUCGUUUGCAAGUCCAGUUGGAAUUCAGUUUCAGAAAAUGGUUUUGAAAGCCGACGGAGGGAUUGUUCCGGUACUCGCCGGCCCCGGAUUCGGAGCGGCGGCCUGGCGAGCGCCUGGGGGCUCCUAGGCUCCGGCUCUGGGCCCCCGGCUCUGGGGCUCACAGAGCACAGUGGAGAGGCGCCUCUCAGAGGGCCUGCACGUGCUGCAUACAGCAGAUGUCCCAGACUCCGUCACCGAGCUGCUGCACAAAACUGAGGCCUCAGUGUGGCCCGGGAGGAAAGAUCACAGCCGGCUCUUUAAAGAUUCAUUUAUUCAUUCCUUCAUUCAGUCAUUUGGAAAGCAGUUACAGAGAGAGAGAGGGAGAGACAGAGAAGGAUCUUCCGUUGCUGGGUCACUUCCUAAAUGCCCACAACAGCCAAGGCUGGGCCAGGCCAAAGCCAGGAGCCUGGAACUCCAUCUGGGUCUCCCACGUGGGUGCAGGGCCCAAGCACUUGGGCCAUCCUCUACUGCUUCCCCAGGUCAUUAGCAGGGAGCUGGGUCAGAAGUGGAGCAGCCGGGACUCGACCCAGCGCUCACACGGGAUGAGGUGUCCCAGAUGGCAGCUUCACCCCCUGUGCCACCACGGCGGCCCCUGGUGUAGCUUUGGCUUCUCUGAUAUUUGCAACAAGCUCUUAGUGCCUCUUCAUCGAUGAGAGGACUGACUCCCUUCCACCAUACACGUGUAUGAAGAAACACGCAGCUCACAGGGAAGACUGCCUGCCAGCGCAGGACUCGCAAGCUUCUGUGGCGCCCGGUCCGUCCCCAAGCCCAGCACCUGCGCGUGCAGAAGGCGUGGUCGGAGUCCGCGUGUGCCGGGAGAGACUGCCGUGAACAGCAUGGAGAGUGUCCCCGUAGCGGCUCCCCUGCUGCUCCGUGGCUGCGGCUCCUUUUGUCCACAAGAGUUGAAAACAGAGCCCAGCCGUGGCUGGCUUGGAAUUCUUUGGUGCGCUGGGUUGGGAGCAGAGGUGCACUGGGGCCGUGUCCCCAGCCUUCGGGCUGUGCAGCACUGUCACUCGGGGCCACACGCCUGCCACUGUGAGGAAUGCGAGAGCCCGAGUCUGGAUGGGUUUCUAUUCCGUGAUCCUCAGAGCAGGUGUAGAAGCCACCGAGGCGCACGUGUGCAGGUGGCCAGCAGGCGUUGCCCCAGCCUCGUGCUCACCUCAUUCUCGUCUGAGUUAUGUUCUCCCAAAAACACCGCACGCACCGCCCAUCCCAACGUCACUCUUUGUCACCUCCGUCACCCGUUUCCCAUCGCUGUGUGAACCUUUGUGACAGCAGCACGUAUUUCUCAGCUUGGAACCGAGUACUCCCUGCUGUGCCGUCCGCAGGGGCCCUGGGGAAGUCUAGGAAGCGGCAGAGCCACACGUGGGCGCUGUUGGGCCCAGGCUCCGCGAGGGGCUUUCUCCUGUGGACGCUCCAGGCAGCAGGGGUGGGGGGAGGGGUCCGGAGCAUCUGCUGUUUUAAAGCCCGGGGUUCAGCACAUAAUGCUGCCCUUUACAGUCACAAAGGUGGCAGCAGUGCUGUAGCGUAGCGGGUAAAGCCACCGCCUACAGUGCCGGCAUCCCAUUUGGGCGCCAGUUCAAAUCCUGGCUACUCCACUUCUGAUCCAGCUCUCUGCUGUGGCCUGGGAAAGCAGCAGAAGAUGGCCCAAGUCCUUGGGCCCCUGCACCCACGUGGCAGACCCGGAAGAAGCUCCUGGCUCCUGGCUUCGGAUCGGCUCAGCUCAAGCUGUUGCGGCCAAUUGGGGAGUGAACCAGCGGAUGGAAGACCUCUCUCUCUCUCUGCCUCUCUCUCUAUUUAACUCCAGCUCUCAAAUAAGUAAACAGAUCUUUAAAAAAAAAAAAUGACAAAGAUGGAAAGAAGACCCAGAAGCUGUUGUCCAGGUGGCACUGUACUGGGGUGCAGGUGGACACUUGGGGCGUCAACAAAGAAGUGGUGUGUGUGGCCCGUUCUCAGCAGAGGCUGAAACAGCUGGAUGGGAAAAGAACAGCAACAGACGGUGCUGCGACAAGCAGAUCGCCACAUGGAGACAGAGUGGGAAUGAGAAAUGAGAAAAUGAGAAAUGAACCCAAGUGCAUCAUGGACCUAAGAGUGAGAGCUAAAGCUGAAAAGAACAACAAAACUCUCGGAGUGAACCACAGACGCAGAUCGCUGGGACCUGGGCUCUGGCGGCAGAUUCGUAGAUGUAAACACCAGAGUCAGCGGAAGAAAGACAUACAUAACAUUUCAUCAGCACUGAACACGUGUGUGCUAUAAACAGUGCUGUCCGGAAACUGAGGGGCCCCCGAGGUGGACUGUGAGGACAUAACUGCCAAUAAGCUGGUAAGGAAUUUGUAGCCAGAGCGUGGGAAGGACUCCUGCAACUCAGUGAUAGAACAGAUAGAUAACUAAUUCCGUGUAAGAUCAGCCGUGCACCCUACAGGGCACAGCCACAGGAAAGGCAGCCAGGGCACGGGGCGGGGAGGGGUGAAGGGGUAAGAGCUCCGCUCUGCAGAGAACCCUGCGUCUCAGCAGCAGCCACGCCCGAGCCUCCCUGCAGGCGUGCCAGCAGUGCACGGCACCUGACGGAUGUGCCGUCUCGGGACCAGGGCAUGUCAGGUCAGAACCACAGCAGGACCAGGCAGCCGCUGUCACAGAACAGCAGCAGCAGACAACAACCAGCGCGGGCAGAGAAACAGGAGAAUGGAGCCCCGGGUCCGUCCGAGCGGGCGGUACUGGUGAGGCACCGUGGAGGACAGCACGCCAGCCGCUCAGAAACCACGGAGGCAGUUGUCACGUGACCCAGCAGUUCCGCUUCCGGACGGGUCACCAUAGAGCUGCAAGCAGAGUGCAAGUGGUGGGAGUGCCCCCGUUCACACCGCGUUACUCACCGCAGCCCACGUUCAGUGGCAGAUGCAUGGAUGCACUGGUCGGCCCGGACAGGGGUUCAGCCAGCCCUGGGGGGGGGGUAGUCACACUUGCACGCACAGAUGACCCCUGAGUAGCAUGAGGUGGUCACAGAGCAGGCACACACUGGCAGAGUCCACUCCUGUGAGACACCUGGGACAGCUGGAUCCACAGAGCUGGAAAGUCGUGGCUUCCAGAGGCUGGGAGGAAUGGGCAGCAGGCGGUGACUGUGAGGGACACGUGUCCUGCAGGGAGGGACAACAGGCGGUGACUGUGAGGGACACAUGUCCUGUCAGGGAAGGACAACAGGUGGUGACUGUGAGGGACACGCGUCCUGUCAGGGAAGGACAACAGGUGGUGACUGUGAGGGACACGUGUCCUGUCAGGGAAGGACAACAGGCAGUGACUGUGAGGGACACGUGUCCUGUCAGGGAAGGACAACAGGCGGUGACUGCUGAGGGACACGCGUCCUGCAGGGAGGGACAACAGGCGGUGACUGAGGGACACGUGUCCUGUCAGGGAAGGACAACAGGUGGUGACUGUGAGGGACACGUGUCCUGCAGGGAGGGACAACAAGCUGUGACUGUGAGGGACACGCGUCCUGUCAGGAUGGGACAACAGGCGGUGACUGUGAGGGACACGUGUCCUUCAGGGAGGGACAACAGGUGGUGACUGUGAGGGACACGCGUCCUGUCAGGAUGGGACAACAGGCGGUGACUGUGAGGGACACGCGUCCUGUCAGGGAAGGACAACAGGCGGUGACUGUGAGGGACACGCGUCCUGUCACUGAUGGACAACAGGCGGUGACUGUGAGGGACACGCGUCCUGUCAGGGAUGGACAACAGGUGGUGACUGUGAGGGACACGCGUCCUGUCAGGGAAGGACAACAGGCGGUGACUGUGAGGGACACGCGUCCUGUCACUGAUGGACAACAGGUGGUGACUGAGGGACACACGUCCUGUCAGGGAUGGACAACAGGUGGUUUCUGCUGAGGGACACGCGUCUUGUCAGGGUUGUCACAGUGUUCUGAAGUCAGCAGUGAUGGCUGCACAGCUUGAGAAUGUCUCAGAAACCAUUGCAUAUAUAUUAGAUUUCUUUAUUUGAGGGCAGAGUUACAGUUAGAGAGGGAAAGACAGAGAGGUCUUCCAAAAUCGGCUGGUUCAUUCCCCAAAUGGCCGCAAUGGCCAGAACUCGGCCAAUCAGGAGCAGGAACUUCCGGGUCUCCCACGCAGAGGCAGGGGCCCAAGGACUUGGGCCGUCUUCCACUGAUCUCCCAGGCCGUAAGCGGAGAGCUGGAUCAGAACAGGAGCAGCGGGACUUGAACCAGCACUCAUAUGGGAGCCAGUGCCACAGGUGGAGACUAACCUCGAGGCUACAGUGCACUAGUGGAUUUAGUGGUGUGUGAGUUGUGUCUCAGUAAAGCUGUUGGGAAAAAAGAUUGAAAAUAGAGAACAGACUUCGUCAUGAUUCUGAGCCUGAUGAUACAGUUGCUCAAAACAUCCACGGCUGUGUCUGCUCUCAGGAGAAUCCUCGGCCCUGUGGUUGGAAACAUUGUUUGAAUGUCAUUAUGAAUAAGAAAAGAACAAAUGUGGCUUCAGCUUUUUCGUGCUAGUCCUGGAGACUGAGAUGUGCCCGCCCUCCUCUUCCCUCAGCCCUGACUCAGCCCCGGGGGUUUGGGUCCAGGCCAUGGGAAGCCACCCACCCAGUCUGGGUCCCGGGCAAGAAACUCUAGGGCUCGCUGCCGUCCCCAGCCGGGACUGUCCAGCGCCAGGCCGUAGGUGGGAAGAGCUGCUGCAGAGACAGGAACACGCAGGGGAGAAGUGUGUGAGACCCCUGCUCUGCUCUGGAGACAACAGGCCUGCUCACUGCGGCACGUCUGCCUCUGCCUGGCCUCUCUCGCCCCGCGGGCCUUCUCUGCGCACGGGUGAGCGCAGACGGUAGGUGGGAGACAGGUGCAGUCUCACCGGAUACGGGCUUCUGCACACCUCAGGCUGUGGCUCCUUGAGGAGAGGAAGCACUUCACUCUGGGGAAAACGUCACUUUGUUCCCUACUUUUAUUAAAUCUCAGGCUUGUAUUUAAGACUCGGAUGGUACCAGGAGGAAGCUGUGAACAGUGAAGUGUCACCCUGUGCUGUCUGCUGAGUCGGUCACAGUGACCGAGCUGACUGUGCCCACUGUGUCAGCUGACGGGUGUGACUACAGCAGAGCUGGCUGUGCCCACUGUGUGAGCUGUGUGAGCUGACGGGUGUCACUGCAGCAGAGCUGGCUGUGCCCACUGUGUGAGCUGUGUGAGCUGACGGGUGUGACUACAGCAGAGCUGGCUGUGCCCACUGUGUGAGCUGACAGGUGUGACUGCAGCAGAGCUGACUGUGCCCACUGUGUGGGCUGUGUGAGCUGACGGGUGUGCCCACAGCAGAGCUGACUGUGCCCACUGUGUGGGCUGUGUGAGCUGACGGGUGUGCCCACAGCAGAGCUGACUGUGCCCACUGUGUGAGCUGUGUGAGCUGACGGGUGUGCCCACAGCAGAGCUGACUGUGCCCACUGUGUGAGCUGUGUGAGCUGACGGGUGUGCCCACAGCAGAGCUGGCUGUGCCCACUGUGUGAGCUGUGUGAGCUGACGGGUGUCACUGCAGCAGAGCUGGCUGUGCCCACUGUGUGAGCUGUGUGAGCUGACGGGUGUGACUACAGCAGAGCUGACUGUGCCCACUGUGUGAGCUGUGUGAGCUGAUGGGUGUGCCUACAGCAGAGCUGACUGUGCCCACUGUGUGAGCUGUGUGAGCUGACAGGUGUGACUACAGCAGAGCUGACUGUGCCCACUGUGUCAGCUGACGGGUGUGACUACAGCAGAGCUGACUGUGCCCACUGUGUGAGCUGUGUGAGCUGACGGGUGUGCCUACAGCAGAGCUGACUGUGCCCACUGUGUGAGCUGUGUGAGCUGACGGGUGUGCCUACAGCAGAGCUGACUGUGCCCACUGUGUGGGCUGACGGGUGUGACUACAGCAGAGCUGACUGUGCCCACUGUGUCAGCUGACGGGUGUGACUACACAGACUGAGACCCGACUCACCUGUGUGAGCUGACAGGUGUGACUACAGCAGAGCUGACUGUGCCCACUGUGUGAGCUGACGGGUGUCACUACACAGACUGAGACCCGACUCACCUGUGUGAGCUGACAGGUGUGACUACAGCAGAGCUGACUGUGCCCACUGUGUGAGCUGUGUGGGCUGAUGGGUGUGACUACAGCAGAGCUGACUCUGCCCACUGUGUGAGCUGACGGGUGUGACUACAGCAGAGCUGACUGUGCCCACUGUGUGGGCUGAUGGGUAUGACUACAGCAGAGCUGACUCUGCCCACUGUGUGAGCUGACGGGUGUGACUACAGCAGAGCUGACUGUGCCCACUGUGUGAGCUGUGUGAGCUGACGGGUGUGCCUACAGCAGAGCUGACUGUGCCCACUGUGUGGGCUGACGGGUGUCACUACACAGACUGAGACCCGACUCCCCUGAGUGGGCUGAGACCCGACUCACCUGUGUGAGCUGUGUGGGCUGACGGGUGUGACUACACAGACUGAGACCCCACUCACCUGAGUGGGCUGAGACCCGACUCACCUGUGUGGGCUGUGUGAGCUGACGGGUGUCACUACACAGACUGAGACCCGACUCACCUGUGUGGGCUGUGUGGGCUGACGGGUAUCACUACACAGACUGAGACCCGACUCCCCUGUGCGGGCUGAGACCCGACUCACCUGAGU